GGUGGCUCAGUGCUAGAGCGCUUGCCUUACAAGCAUGAGGUCCUGGGUUCGAUUCCUCAGCACCA
rnacentral:tRNA from 1 species